rnacentral:rRNA from 1 species
GACGAACGCUGGCGGCGUGCUUAAUACAUGCAAGUAGAACGCUGAAGGAGGAGCUUGCUUCUCUGGAUGAGUUGCGAACGGGUGAGUAACGCGUAGGUAACCUGCCUGGUAGCGGGGGAUAACUAUUGGAAACGAUAGCUAAUACCGCAUAAGAGUAGAUGCUGCAUGACAUUGGCUGAAAAGGUGCAAUUGCAUCACUACCAGAUGGACCUGCGUAGUUUUAGCUUGUGGGUGGGGUAACGGCACACCAAGGCGAGGAUACAUAUCCGACCUGCGAGGGUGGUCAGCCGCGCUGGGAGUGAGACACGGCCCAGACUCCUUGGGGUGGCGGCCGUACGGAAUCUGCAGGCAGGGGUGGGAGUCUGUCCGCGCUGCGCCGCAGGCGUGUAGAGGGUUGUCGGGUCGGGAAGCUCGGUUGUAGGGUUAGAACGAGUUUUAGAGUGGGAAGUUGACACUGUGACGGUAUCUUGUCAGGAAGCGACGGCUAACUACGUG